UACGGGGGGGGCAAGCGUUGUUCGGAAUUACUGGGCGUAAAGGGCUCGUAGGCGGCCAACUAAGUCAGACGUGAAAUCCCUCGGCUUAACCGGGGAACUGCGUCUGAUACUGGAUGGCUUGAGUGUAGGAGAGGGAUGCGGAAUUCCAGGUGUAGCGGUGAAAUGCGCAGAUAUCAGGAAGAACACCAAUGGCGAAGGCAGCUCUCUGGGACGGUACUGACGCUGAGACGCGAAAGCGUGGGGAGCGAACAGG
rnacentral:rRNA from 1 species